rnacentral:rRNA from 1 species
CGAAUAGGGGCAACCCUUAGUAGAGCGGCGCACGGGUGCGUAACACGUGGAUAAUCUGCCUGGAUGCCUGGGAUAACCAGUCGAAAGAUUGGCUAAUACCGGAUAAGCCCACGGUCUCUUCGGAGACUGAGGGAAAAGGUGGCCUCUGUAUACAAGCUAUCACAACCAGAUGAGUCCGCGGCCCAUCAGCUAGUUGGCGGGGUAAUGGCCCACCAAGGCGACGACGGGUAGCUGGUCUGAGAGGACGAUCAGCCACACUGGAACUGAGACACGGUCCAGACUCCUACGGGAGGCAGCAGUGGGGAAUUUUGCGCAAUGGGCGAAAGCCUGACGCAGCAACGCCGCGUGUGUGAUGAAGGUCUUUGGAUUGUAAAGCACUUUCGACCGGGACGAAACCGUAAAGCCUAAUACGCUUUGCCUUGACGGUACCGGGAGAAGAAGCACCGGCUAACUCUGUGCCAGCAGCCGCGGUAAUACAGAGGGUGCAAGCGUUGUUCGGAAUUAUUGGGCGUAAAGCGCGUGUAGGCGGCUUUGCAAGUCGGGUGUGAAAGCCCUCAGCUCAACUGAGGAAGUGCGCCCGAAACUGCAGAGCUUGAGUGCCGGAGAGGGUGGCGGAAUUCCCCAAGUAGAGGUGAAAUUCGUAGAUAUGGGGAGGAACACCGGUGGCGAAGGCGGCCACCUGGACGGUAACUGACGCUGAGACGCGAAAGCGUGGGUAGCAAACAGGAUUAGAUACCCUGGUAGUCCACGCCGUAAACGAUGAGAACUAGGUGUCGUGGGAGUUGACCCCCGCGGUGCCG